rnacentral:rRNA from 1 species
UGGGGAAUAUUGGACAAUGGGCGAAAGCCUGAUCCAGCCAUGCCGCGUGUGUGAAGAAGGUCUUCGGAUUGUAAAGCACUUUAAGUUGGGAGGAAGGGCAGUAAGUUAAUACCUUGCUGUUUUGACGUUACCGACAGAAUAAGCACCGGCUAACUCUGUGCCAGCAGCCGCGGUAAUACAGAGGGUGCAAGCGUUAAUCGGAAUUACUGGGCGUAAAGCGCGCGUAGGUGGUUUGUUAAGUUGGAUGUGAAAGCCCCGGGCUCAACCUGGGAACUGCAUCCAAAACUGGCAGGCUAGAGUACAGUAGAGGGUGGUGGAAUUUCCUGUGUAGCGGUGAAAUGCGUAGAUAUAGGAAGGAACACCAGUGGCGAAGGCGACCACCUGGACUGAUACUGACACUGAGGUGCGAAAGCGUGGGGAGCAAACA